GCUUAACACAUGCAAGUCGAACGGACGAUGAAGAGCUUGCUUUUCAGAGUUAGUGGCGGACGGGUGAGUAACGCGUGGGUAACCUGCCUCAUACAGGGGGAUAGCAGCUGGAAACGGCUGAUAAAACCGCAUAAGCGCACAGCAUCGCAUGAUGCAGUGUGAAAAACUCCGGUGGUAUGAGAUGGACCCGCGUCUGAUUAGCUAGUUGGUGAGGUAACGGCCCACCAAGGCGACGAUCAGUAGCCGGCCUGAGAGGGUGACCGGCCACAUUGGGACUGAGACACGGCCCAAACUCCUACGGGAGGCAGCAGUGGGGAAUAUUGCACAAUGGGGGAAACCCUGAUGCAGCGACGCCGCGUGAAGGAAGAAGUAUCUCGGUAUGUAAACUUCUAUCAGCAGGGAAGAUAAUGACGGUACCUGACUAAGAAGCCCCGGCUAACUACGUGCCAGCAGCCGCGGUAAUACGUAUGGUGCAAGCGUUAUCCGGAUUUACUGGGUGUAAAGGGAGCGUAGGCGGCGGAGCAAGUCAGAAGUGAAAGCCCGGGGCUCAACCCCGGGACGGCUUUUGAAACUGCCCUGCUUGAUUUCAGGAGAGGUAAGCGGAAUUCCUAGUGUAGCGGUGAAAUGCGUAGAUAUUAGGAGGAACACCAGUGGCGAAGGCGGCUUACUGGACUGACAAUGACGCUGAGGCU
rnacentral:rRNA from 1 species